GGCUUAAUGGUCUAGUAGUAUGAUUCCUGCUUCGGGGUUUCCAUAUCUCGCGCCUUUGUGGGGCGUUUAAUGCAGGAGGUCCUGGGUUCAAUUCCCAGUUAAGCCC